rnacentral:rRNA from 1 species
GAUGAACGCUGGCGGCGUGCCUAAUACAUGCGAGUCGAGCGAACAGACGAUGAGCUUGCUCCUCUGUCGUUAGCGGCGCACGUGUGUGUAACACGUGGAUAACCUACCUAUAAUACUGGUAUAACUUCGGGAAACCGGAGCUAAUACCGGAUAAUAUAUUGAACCGCAUGGUUCAAUGGUGAAAUACGGUUUUGCUGUCACUUAUAGAUGGAUCCGCGCCGCAUUAGCUAGUUGGUAAGGUAACGGCUUACCAAGGCAACGAUGCGUAGCCGACCUGAGAGGGUGAUAGGCCACACUGGAGCGGAGCCACGGUCAAGACUACUACGGGAGGCAGCAGUAGGGAAUGUUACGCAAUGGGCGAGAGCAUGACGGAGCAACGCCGCGUGAGUGAUGAAGGUCUUCGGAUCGUAAAACUCUGUUACUAGGGAAGAACAAAUGUGUAAGUAACCAUGCACGUAUUGACGGUACCUAAUCAGAAAGCAACGGCUAACUACGUG